CAGUCAUACCAACGGGAAAUCAACCUUUUGAGCUCGGUCUCGUGGGUUUUGAAGAGUUUCAAAGCCUUCGGAUUCGCGGGAUUGGGAUCUCUCGGUGUACUUUUUCGUACGGUUAGUCAACAUCGGUUUUGAAUGUCAUAAAAUGAUUGGGGGAAUGUAGCUUCGAUCUCGUAUUGAAGUGUCAUAGCCUUUGGUAGAUGUGAUGUUUGAGACCGAGGAUUGCAACGGAUACCCUUCAGGGCUAUUCGUCUGAUCUCUGAUACGUUGCCCUGAUGUUGAAAGCUUGCUUAUGAUGUUAGGGUAUUACGGUCAAAAGGUUAGAACGGAUUAGA
rnacentral:rRNA from 1 species